rnacentral:rRNA from 1 species
UACGGAGGGGGCAAGCGUUAUUCGGAAUUAUUGGGCGUAAAGGGCGCGUAGGCGGCUUGGUAAGUCAAAGGUGAAAUCCCUCGGCUCAACCGAGGAAUUGCCUUUGAAACUGCCUGGCUUGAGGCCGGGAGGGGGUAGCGGAAUUCCCAGUGUAGCGGUGAAAUGCGUAGAUACUGGGAGGAACACCGGUGGCGAAGGCGGCUACCUGGACCGGUUCUGACGCUGAUGCGCGAAAGCGUGGGGAGCAAACAGGAUUAGAAACCCCAGUAGUCC